rnacentral:rRNA from 1 species
UCCUACGGGAGGCAGCAGUGGGGAAUAUUGGACAAUGGGGGGAACCCUGAUCCAGCCAUGCCGCGUGUGUGAAGAAGGCCCUCGGGUUGUAAAGCACUUUCAGCGAGGAAGAACACCUAGGGGUUAAUACCCGAUACGAAAGACAUCACUCGCCCAACAAGCACCGGCUUACUCCGGGCCAGCAGCCGCGGUAAUACGGAGGGUGCAAGCGUUAAUCGGAAUUACUGGGCGUAAAGCGCGUGUAGGUGGCUUGAUAAGCCGGUUGUGAAAGCCCCGGGCUCAACCUGGGAACGGCAUCCGGAACUGUCAAGCUAGAGUGCAGGAGAGGAAGGUAGAAUUCCCGGUGUAACGGUGAAAUGCGUAGAGAUCGGGAGGAAUACCAGUGGCUAACGCUGCCUUCUGGACUGGCACUGACACUGAAGUGCGAAAGCGUGGGUAGCACACAGGAUUAGAUACCCUGGUAGUCCACGCCGUAAACGAUGUCUACCAGCCGUUGGGUGCCUAGCGCACUAUGUGGCCAAGUUAACGCGAUAAGUCGACCGCCUGUGGAGUACAGUCGCAAGGUUACAACUCAGAUGAAUUGACGG